UACGAAGGGGCUAGCGUUGCUCGGAAUCACUGGGCGUAAAGGGUGCGUAGGCGGGUCUUUAAGUCAGGGGUGAAAUCCUGGAGCUCAACUCCAGAACUGCCUUUGAUACUGAAGAUCUUGAGUUCGGGAGAGGUGAGUGGAACUGCGAGUGUAGAGGUGAAAUUCGUAGAUAUUCGCAAGAACACCAGUGGCGAAGGCGGCUCACUGGCCCGGUACUGACGCUGAGGUGCGAAAGCGUGGGAGCAACAGGG
rnacentral:rRNA from 1 species